UACGUAGGGACCAAGCGUUGUUCGGAUUUACUGGGCGUAAAGGGCGCGUAGGCGGCGUGGUAAGUCAGCUGUGAAAUCUCCGAGCUUAACUCGGAACGGUCAGCUGAUACUGCUGUGCUAGAGUACAGAAAGGGCAAUCGGAAUUCUUGGUGUAGCGGUGAAAUGCGUAGAUAUCAAGAGGAACACCUGAGGCGAAGGCGGGUUGCUAGGCUGAUACUGACGCUGAGUGCGCGAAAGCUAGGGUAGCAAACGGGG
rnacentral:rRNA from 1 species